rnacentral:lncRNA from 1 species
GAUGAGCUUCAGCUUGAUCUUCAUCAUGUUGCCGGAGGCCUAAUUGGUGAUUACUAUAGCUUUUUGUUCAACUCUAAGGUAUUUUUAAUCAAACUUUCAUCCCAAUUUAUCUUAUGAGGAUGAAGUUAUUAAAUACUCGGUACGACUCAAUGUCGUUAUACAGAUCUGUGAAGGUUCAACUGUGUACGCGAGUGCAAUAGCUAACAAGCUUAUCGAAGUCGUGGACAAGCAGUAUGCAGCAAUUCCACCAACUAGUAGCUAUUAGGUAUGUGUAUAUGCAGGAGUUUUUUUAAUUUUUAAUUUUUAAUUUUUUUAAAAAUUAUAUAGCAAUUUUUUGAGUAUGAAUGAUCUAAAUUAGUGUGGAGAAUAACAAUUAAUUAAUGACUGAAGUUGGGAAUUAAGCUUUAUUUGACUGGUAUAGACAGCAGAAGAUUCAUCUGAAUAGUAAGUUGCAGUUUUACGACAGUAGUAGAUCAGAUAAUAAGUUAGUUUCAAACAUAUAUGUACAGUUACUUAAUAUGGGCAUGCAAAAAGUACAUUAAUACUCAGACUUGCAGACUUAAAUUUAUGUCUUCAGUUAACUGCAGUCCAAGUUUCCCAGAUAUACAUAAAAAAUAAGGUUAAUCAAAUAUGUUAAUUUGAAUCUCUUUUUGACAGAUAACAUUAGUAUGAACGGCAAAAUCUUAUGCAACUUUUACGAAAUCACUUAAUGUUAAAUAGUUUACUAACGGCUUUACCAUCCAACUUUAACUCAUGUGAAAGUCAUGUGAUUUUGAGGUUCGUCAUCGAACGAAAUAAACUAAACAUUUCAGUUUCCCUAAGAUGCUAUGUUAAUUGCAGUUUAACCUGGCUAUCAUAAUAUUAAUGGCAUUAAUGAAAUUGCAAUAUUCAAUUGCGUUAUAAGGGUAAAUUUCACGUGGUUAAAACUUAAAAUACAAUAAUAAUAAUAAUAAUAAUAAUAAUAAUAAUAGUAAAGUGUUAAUUUCUUUCUGUUUGCAGAUUAAAAUUGUUCAUUGGAGGAGGAUCGAAGUUGGAUAAAGACUGAUGACUACAAAUUAUGCAUCAUUUUUCUGUUGAAUAUUAGGCAGUAGGGAAGAUGUGGGUCGUGACAGACAUCCAUUUAUAUUAUGCUGAUUUACUCAAUGAAUAGUGAUACAUAUUAUAUAUGUAAUAAAUCUAUGUAUUUCUAUGGCCAAAUUAAAAAUGAAUGCAUGCUCAAG